rnacentral:rRNA from 1 species
GGAUUAGGCAUGCAAGUCGAGCGGUAAGGCCCCGCAAGGGGUACACGAGCGGCGUAAGGGACAGCAAUGUGUAGGUACGUACCUCCGGGCCUGGGAUAGCGUCGGGAAACUGACGGUAAUACUCGAUAAAGUCGAGAGACCAAAGGUUUACUGCCGGAGGAGCGGCCGAUGCGAUAUUAGGUAGUUGGUGGGGUAACGGCCUACCAAGCCUGAGAUGUCUAGGGGGUGUGAGAGCAUGGCCCCCACCACUGGGACUGAGAAACUGCCCAGACACCUACGGGUGGCUGCAGUCGAGAAUCUUCGGCAAUGGACGCAAGUCUGACCGAGCGACGCCGCGUGCGGGAUGAAGGCCUUCGGGUUGUAAACCGCUGUCGUAGGGGAGGAAAUUCCGGAGGGUACUCCCUCCGGAUUGACUGAUCCUAGGAGGAAGGACCGGCUAAUCUCGUGCCAGCAGCCGCGGUAAUA